rnacentral:rRNA from 1 species
CCUACGGGAGGCUGCAGUGGGGAAUUUUGGACAAUGGGGGCAACCCUGAUCCAGCCAUGCCGCGUGCGGGAAGAAGGCCUUCGGGUUGUAAACCGCUUUUGUCGGGGAAGAAAUCCUCUGGGCUAAUACCUCGGGGGCAUGACGGUACCCGGAGAAUAAGCACCGGCUAACUACGUGCCAGCAGCAGCGGUAAUACGUAGGGUGCAAGCGUUAAUCGGAACGUGCGGACGCAAACCUGGAAGAGAGAUGUGAAAUCCCCGGGCUCAACCUGGGAACUGCAGUUGUGACUGCAAGGCUGGAGUGCGGCAGAGGGGGAUGGAAUUCCGCGUGUAGCAGUGAAAUGCGUAGAUAUGCGGAGGAACACCGAUGGCGAAGGCAAUCCCCUGGGCCUGCACUGACGCUCAUGCACGAAAGCGUGGGGAGCAAACAGGAUUAGAUACCCCUGUAGUC